ensembl:snRNA U6 U6 spliceosomal RNA
GUGCUCACUUCAGCAGCACACAUGCUAACAUUGGCAUGACACAGAGAAGAUGAGCAUGGUCCCUGUGGAAGGAUGACACACAAAUUCACGAAGCAUUCCAUAUUUAA